CUCUCAUAACUGAACCCUAGGCUCCCACUACUCAUAUCCUCUCUCAUCAAUCUAUGUUCUCAAAGAAUCACAGAUUUACCUGCCAAUUGGUUUCAUCGACAGAUCGAGACUGUAUUCGCCAUUUUUCCUAUGAUUAAGUUUCGUCGAAGAUUGAAGAAUCGGAAGGUAGCUCACGCUCUGUCUAGUGGCAGAGGGUAAUCUAGAAAGCGAAUUUUGCAGAGGCAAGUGUUAAACUCUGUCGAGAGGAUUGCCCCUGUUCCAGGCUUUCCAACUAUGGAGAUGACCAAGAGGCUCAACAUAAUGAACUUCUCUUGCUAUUCCAACAAGGGAUUGAAUGAAUACACUGGAGAUCAAGUUAUUUAGUUUUGAUUCCAUUUCUUUUACAUUUUCGCAAAAAGCUAUUUAAAAAUUAUUUCCUUAUGAUAAAUAUCAAGGCAUGAUAUUUUCUAAUGUAGUGCUAAUCACACUCGUAUAUAUUUUUUGUUCACUUUUAUCUUGAAAUAAAACCAGGUAAAAUCCGACAGCCAAUGUACCAAGGCCUAACCCUCAAGGUUUUGCCACUUUUUAUUCCUUGUCAAAAUUUGCAGGUUUUGCUCUACCUGUUCUGCUUGUGCUAUUUUCAAAAUAGUUUAUAAGCAUUAAAAUGAACUGGAUCUAAUCAUGCUAGUACUUAUUAAUUGCUACUAUUCCUUAUAGGUUGUUAUUGUAAUCUACAGAAAUUGACAAGAGAGAAAUGGAUGACUGCCAUAAAGCCAAGGUUGCUAGAAAGGACAUCGAGUUGGGAUCCUAUAUUUUGAUUUGACACCCCGUUGCUGCUCCAUCAUUGAUUAUAUAUAUGUUUUUAGAUAAUUUUUUUUUUUGCUAAUUAAGUAUUAGGUUUUAUAUGUACGUGAGGUAUUUUUUAUGUAUGUAUACCUUUGUAACUGAUAUUUGUAUAUUCUUAUUUUUGGAAAUAAAACAUGUUCCUGUUAAACCCGUUGUUGAUAUGCAAGUUGUUGCC